CCUACGGGUGGCUGCAGUGGGGAAUAUUGGACAAUGGGCGAAAGCCUGAUCCAGCCAUGCCGCGUGUGUGAAGAAGGCCUUCGGGUUGUAAAGCACUUUCAGUGGGGAAGAAAGCCUUGGGGCUAAUACCCUCGAGGAAGGACAUCACCCACAGAAGAAGCACCGGCUAACUCCGUGCCAGCAGCCGCGGUAAUACGGAGGGUGCGAGCGUUAAUCGGAAUUACUGGGCGUAACGCGCGCGUAGGCGGUCUGAUAAGCCGGUUGUGAAAGCCCCGGGCUCAACCUGGGAACGGCAUCCGGAACUGUCAGGCUAGAGUGCAGGAGAGGAAGGUAGAAUUCCCGGUGUAGCGGUGAAAUGCGUAGAGAUCGGGAGGAAUACCAGUGGCGAAGGCGGCCUUCUGGACUGACACUGACGCUGAGGUGCGAAAGCGUGGGUAGCAAACAGGAUUAGAUACCCUAGUAGUC
rnacentral:rRNA from 1 species